rnacentral:rRNA from 1 species
AGUCGAGCGGUAACAUUUCUAGCUUGCUAGAAGAUGACGAGCGGCGGACGGGUGAGUAAUGCUUGGGAAUAUGCCUUGAAGUGGGGGACAACAGUUGGAAACGACUGCUAAUACCGCAUAAUGUCUACGGACCAAAGGGGGGGAUCUUCGGACCUCUCGCUUCUUGAUUAGCCCAAGUGAGAUUAGCUAGUAGGUGAGGUAAAGGCUCACCUAGGCGACGAUCUCUAGCUGGUUUGAGAGGAUGAUCAGCCACACUGGGACUGAGACACGGCCCAGACUCCUACGGGAGGCAGCAGUGGGGAAUAUUGCACAAUGGGCGAAAGCCUGAUGCAGCCAUGCCGCGUGUGUGAAGAAGGCCUUCGGGUUGUAAAGCACUUUCAGUUGUGAGGAAAGGUUAGUAGUUAAUAACUGCUAUCUGUGACGUUACUCGCAGAAGAAGCACCGGCUAACUCCGUGCCAGCAGCCGCGGUAAUACGAGGGGUGCAAGCGUUAAUCGGAAUUACUGGGCGUAAAGCGUACGCAGGCGGUUGGUUAAGCGAGAUGUGAAAUCCCCGGGCUCAACCUGGGAACUGCAUUUCGAACUGGCCAACUAGAGUAUGAGAGAGGGUGGUAGAAUUUCCGGUGUAGCGGUGAAAUGCGUAGAUAUAGGAAGGAAUACCAGUGGCGAAGGCGGCCACCUGGCUUGAUACUGACGCUGAGGUGCGAAAGCGUGGGGAGCGAACAGGAUUAGAUACCCUGGUAGUCCACGCCGUAAACGAUGUCAACUAGCCGUUUGUGUCCUUGAGACGUGAGUGGCGCAGCUAACGCACUAAGUUGACCGCCUGGGGAGUACGGCCGCAAGGUUAAAACUCAAAUGAAUUGACGGGGGCCCGCACAAGCGGUGGACCAUGUGGUUUAAUUCG